rnacentral:rRNA from 1 species
ACGGCUCAGUAACACGUGGACAACCUACCCUAAGGAGGGGGAUAACCCCGGGAAACUGGGGAUAAUACCCCAUAGACUAUGGAUGCUGGAAUGCUUUGUAGUCAAAAGGUCCGCCGCCUUAGGAUGGGUCUGCGGCCGAUUAGGUUGUUGUUGGGGUAACGGCCCAACAAGCCUGUAAUCGGUACGGGUUGUGGGAGCAAGAGCCCGGAGAUGGAUUCUGAGACACGAAUCCAGGCCCUACGGGGCGCAGCAGGCGCGAAAACUUUACAAUGCGGGAAACCGUGAUAAGAGAACUCCGAGUGCCCGUUAAAUCGGGCUGUCCACCAGUUUAAACAACUGGUGAAGAAAGGGCCGGGCAAGACCGGUGCCAGCCGCCGCGGUAAUACCGGCGGCUCGAGUGGUGGCCACUAUUACUGGGCUUAAAGCGUUCGUAGCUGGUUUGUUAAGUCUCUGGGGAAAUCUACCGGCUUAACCGGUAGGCGUCUCAGGGAUACUGGCAGACUAGGGACCGGGAGAGGUGAGAGGUACUCCAGGGGUAGGAGUGAAAUCCUGUAAUCCUUGGGGGACCACCUGUGGCGAAGGCGUCUCACCAGAACGGCUCCGACAGUGAGGGACGAAAGCUGGGGGAGCAAACCGGAUUAGAUACCCGGGUAGUCCCAGCUGUAAACGAUGCGCGUUAGGUGUAUCGGUGACCACGAGUCACCGAGGUGCCGAAGAGAAAUCGUGAAACGUGCCGCCUGGGAAGUACGGUCGCAAGGCUGAAACUUAAAGGAAUUGGCGGGGGAGCAC